rnacentral:tRNA from 1 species
AUUAGGGUGGCAGAGCCAGGCUAAUACGCACAAGACCUAAGCCCUUGAAACAAAAGUUCAAAUCUUUUCCCUAAUG